GCAGCCGCCGCGGGAAUACGAGGGGGGCAAGCGUUGUUCGGAAUUAUUGGGCGUAAAGGGCGCGUAGGCGGUUUGGCAAGUUUGGUGUGAAAUCUUCGGGCUCAACUCGAAGUCUGCACCGAAAACUGCCGGGCUUGAGUAUGGGAGAGGUGAGUGGAAUUUCCGGUGUAGCGGUGAAAUGCGUAGAUAUCGGAAGGAACACCUGUGGCGAAAGCGGCUCACUGGACCAUUACUGACGCUGAGGCGCGAAAGCUAGGGGAGCAAACAGGAUUAGAUACCCCUGUAGUCCCUGUCUCUUAUAC
rnacentral:rRNA from 1 species